UCAGAUAGUCUGAAAAAAGGAGAAAAAUGAGAAAAACAAAGUGGAAAUAAAAAAGUGCUAAAAAGUUCUCGAAUUGCGACAUAAAACGGCAACAAAAACUGAAGACAGCCAGCCACGCCCACAUCUACAAUUGCCUUCGAGGGGUUGGGGGCGCGGUCUAAGAGCCUGUCUCAACUCCUUCACUGGCAGGCGCACCAUUAAUGAUGGAUGAUGAAUACUCGAGUCUUGAGUCCUGAGUGGCGACUCGACUGGCGGCUGUUGCGCACCGAAAAAUGAUUUGAUGAAAACAUUUGAAAUUUUUAUCGGGUGCAAAUUUAUGCAGAACUGUUGAUGUCAUCGCCAUUGCCCCUGUCCUCGCCCUCGCCCUCACCCUCACCCUGUGUUGGCCACAGAAAAAUGAUGACGAUGCGAGUGACGUUGAAAUAUGAAGCGACAUUACCUACUCCCAAAGGCGGUCGAAGCAGUAGCAGCAGCAGCAGCAACAGCAGCUCCCAAGCUCCUAGAGCUGAAACUAGGGGCUGCAAUGAUUGGCUUUUUUCUUGAGCGUGCCCCCCUCUAUAAGGGCCGUGGCAUUUUCUGGUGGGCGCAACGAAGCGCGUCUGUUAACUGGGCUUGGCCUUAGUCGAUAAGACGUUUUCUUUUUUUUUGUUGUUUGGGGGGAGGGCUUAAUUUUUAUUAACAUUAGAAGUGCACCUAAAAUUUGUAAUAAAUGACUUUGCAAUUGAUUGGAA